rnacentral:rRNA from 1 species
UACGUAGGUGGCAAGCGUUGUCCGGAUUUAUUGGGUGUAAAGCGAGCGCAGGCGGUUUCUUAAGUCUGAUGUGAAAGCCCCCGGCUCAACCGGGGAGGGUCAUUGGAAACUGGGAGACUUGAGUGCAGAAGAGGAGAGUGGAAUUCCAUGUGUAGCGGUGAAAUGCGUAGAUAUAUGGAGGAACACCAGUGGCGAAGGCGACUCUCUGGUCUGUAACUGACGCUGAGGCUCGAAAGCGUGGGGAGCAAACAGG